rnacentral:rRNA from 1 species
UACGGAGGAUGCGAGCGUUAUCCGGAUUUAUUGGGUUUAAAGGGUGCGUAGGCGGACUGUCAAAUCAGCGGUAAAAUUGAGAGGCUCAACCUCUUCCCGCCGUUGAAACUGGUGGUCUUGAGUGGAUGAGAAGUACGCGGAAUGCGUGGUGUAGCGGUGAAAUGCAUAGAUAUCACGCAGAACUCCGAUUGCGAAGGCAGCGUACCGGCAUCCAACUGACGCUGAGGCACGAAAGCGUGGGGAUCAAACAGG